CCUACGGGAGGCAGCCGUGGGGCAUCUUUCACACUUUGUGCCCCCCUGAUGCAGCAACGCCGCGUGAAGGAAGACGGUUUUCGGAUUGUAAACUUCUGUUCUUAGUGAAGAAAAAUGACGGUAGCUAAGGAGCAAGCCACGGCUAACUACGUGCCAGCAGCCGCGGUAAUACGUAGGUGGCAAGCGUUGUCCGGAAUUACUGGGUGUAAAGGGAGCGCAGGCGGGAAGCCAAGUCAGCUGUGAAAACUACGGGCUUAACUUGUAGACUGCAGUUGAAACUGGUUUUCUUGAGUGAAGUAGAGGUU
rnacentral:rRNA from 1 species